AAGACUCAACAUGGGAAGUCACUUAGCCCUUAAAUCGAUUAAAAACCGGAAUUUGUGGAAACUGAUGUGAAUUCUGAAAUUUUAUAAGCAUUGUGUUUUCGAAUAAAAAUUUCAGCAUGGAUGUAUUCGUGUCUAUGCUACACUUAUUCCAGUGUAU
rnacentral:rRNA from 1 species